GACGAACGCUGGCGGCGUGCUUAACACAUGCAAGUCGAACGGUGACCCAGGGCUUGCCCUGGUGAUCAGUGGCGAACGGGUGAGUAACACGUGGGCAACCUGCCCCUGACUUCGGGAUAACUCCUCGAAAGAGGAGCUAAUACCGGAUACGACCACUUCGGACAUCCGAUGGUGGUGGAAAGUUUUUCGGUCAGGGAUGGGCCCGCGGCCUAUCAGCUAGUUGGUGGGGUAAUGGCCUACCAAGGCGACGACGGGUAGCCGGCCUGAGAGGGCGACCGGCCACACUGGGACUGAGACACGGCCCAGACUCCUACGGGAGGCAGCAGUGGGGAAUAUUGCGCAAUGGGCGAAAGCCUGACGCAGCGACGCCGCGUGAGGGAUGAAGGCCUCGGUUGUAAACCGUCUUCUAGCAGGACGAAGCGAAAGUGACGGUACCGUGCAGAAGAAGCGACCGGCUAACUACGUGCC
rnacentral:rRNA from 1 species